rnacentral:miRNA from 1 species
UGACACUGCAUCCACUACACAAACUGACACUGCAUCCACUACACUAGUGGAUGCAGUGUCAGUAUGUGUAGUGGAUGCAGUGUCAGU